rnacentral:rRNA from 1 species
AUUGAACGCUGGCGGCAUGCCUUACACAUGCAAGUCGAACGGCAGCAUAGGAGCUUGCUCCUGAUGGCGAGUGGCGAACGGGUGAGUAAUAUAUCGGAACGUGCCCUAGAGUGGGGGAUAACUAGUCGAAAGACUAGCUAAUACCGCAUACGAUCUACGGAUGAAAGUGGGGGAUCGCAAGACCUCAUGCUCCUGGAGCGGCCGAUAUCUGAUUAGCUAGUUGGUGGGGUAAAAGCCUACCAAGGCGACGAUCAGUAGCUGGUCUGAGAGGACGACCAGCCUCGCUGGGACUGAGACACGGACCAGACUCCUACGGGAGGCAGCAGUGGGGAAUUUUGGACAAUGGGGGCAACCCUGAUCCAGCAAUGCCGCGUGAGUGAAGAAGGCCUUCGGGUUGUAAAGCUCUUUUGUCAGGGAAGAAACGGUAGUAGCUAAUAUCUACUACUAAUGACGGUACCUGAAGAAUAAGCACCGGCUAACUACGUGCCAGCCGCCGCCGUAACAC